rnacentral:misc_RNA from 1 species
UGGCUCUCGCAUCGAUGAAGAACGCAGCGAAAUGCGAUAAGUAAUGUGAAUUGCAGAAUUCAGUGAAUCAUCGAAUCUUUGAACGCACCUUGCGCUCCUUGGUAUUCCGAGGAGCAUGCCUGUUUGAGUGUCUUGAAGUCAUCAACCCGAACCGUUUUUCUUUGAACGGUCAGGGCUGGAGCUGGGGGACCUUUGCCGCCCGCCUCGGGCGGCUCCCCUCAAAUGCGUCGGUUGGGCCUGUGGGUCAAACUCGGCUGGGCGUUGUACCAUCCUCGCUCUUACGAGACAGGCCCCUUUCCGUGCCCGUCCUCGACCUGCCCCUCGUCAGGGUCGGCGGUCAACAAACAUUUGAAAUCUGACCUCAAAUCAGGUAGGACUACCCGCUGA